ensembl:lncRNA
CUUCUCUGUCUCUUCUUUCCAUGCACAAAGUGGACCAAAUGUGUUUGUGUGCUUGCGUGUGUGAGAGGGUGAUUGGACAAGCUAUUACACAUUGCUCUUCUUGCGCGUGUGUGUGUGUGUGUGUGUGUGUGUGUGUGUGUGUGUGUGUGUGUGUGUGUGUGUGUGUGUGUGUGUGUGUGUGUGUGUGUGUGUGUGUGUGAAAUAUCAUAUUUCUGUCGACACACAAAGUCCAAGGACAAUGAGACGUAGUGUGACAUGGAUUCUGCUAUCUCAGGAGGAACUGGAUAAGUAAGUUAUAAACAGUCCAAUUAGGGUGUGUGAUGUGGGUGUGCCGUAUAGGCUAACGUUUAUAGCGUAACAUGGUUGCUAGUGCUGGUAUGGCGGAUAGCAAUAUGUCACAUAUUCCUAAACAACGAACAGACCUUGUGUUUCUGUGCGUGAGAGGAAGUGUUACACGUCACUGGACACUCAUCCGUCAUGAGGAUUUAUUCUUAGUUUGUUGUGUGUGUGUGUGUGUGUGUGUGUGUGUGUGUGUGUGUGUGUGUGUGUGUGUGUGUGUGUGUGUGUGUGUGUGUGUGUGUGUGUGUGUGUGUGUGUGUGUGUGUGUGUGUGUGUGUGUGUGUGUGCUGGUCUGAGAUCUUAGGCUCUUCUCUGCAGUCCUCGUCAGGUGAGUGUUAGGACCGAGGGGAAUAACGUUGCCACUUUGCACUUUGAUUCCAUCCUAUUGAGGAUCCUGUUUAUGACGUGUGUGUGUGUGUGUGUGUGUGUGUGUGUGUGUGUGUGUGUGUGUGUGUGUGUGUGUGUGUGAGAGUGGUGACUCAUACAUGAAGUGGUGGCUAGUUUUGAUUGACAGGUGCGGUUGAUUAGCCCACGGAGAGGUUAGGCCAGGGAGAUGGCUUAUCUCAGCUCUGCAAGUUGGUACACACAGGCUAAAGUAGACACACACACUCUCUCUAACACACACACACACACACACACACACACACACACACACACACACACACACACAGGCUAAAGUAGACACACACACUCGCACACACACACACACACACACACACAGGCUAAAGUAG